CAGUCGAACGAACCUUCGGGUUAGUGGCGGACGGGUGAGUAACGCGUGAGAAUCUGCCCUCAGGAGGGGGAUAACGGCUGGAAACGGCCGCUAAUACCCCAUAUGCCGAGAGGUGAAAUGAAUUUCGCCUGAGGAUGAGCUCGCGUCUGAUUAGCUAGUUGGUAGGGUAAAGGCCUACCAAGGCGACGAUCAGUAGCUGGUCUGAGAGGAUGAUCAGCCACACUGGGACUGAGACACGGCCCAGACUCYUACGGGAGGCAGCAGUGGGGAAUUUUCCGCAAUGGGCGAAAGCCUGACGGAGCAACGCCGCGUGAGGGAUGAAGGCCUCUGGGCUGUAAACCUCUUUUAUCAAGGAAGAAGAUCUGACGGUACUUGAUGAAUAAGCCACGGCUAAUUCCGUGCCAGCAGCCGCGGUAAUACGGGAGUGGCAAGCGUUAUCCGGAAUUAUUGGGCGUAAAGCGUCCGCAGGCGGUCUUACAAGUCUGUCGUUAAAGCGUGGAGCUUAACUCCAUUUCAGCGAUGGAAACUGUAAGACUAGAGUGUGGUAGGGGCAGAGGGAAUUCCCGGUGUAGCGGUGAAAUGCGUAGAUAUCGGGAAGAACACCAGUGGCGAAGGCGCUCUGCUGGGCCAUAACUGACGCUCAUGGACGAAAGCCAGGGGAGCGAAAGGGAUUAGAUACCCCUGUAGUCCUGGCCGUAAACGAUGAACACUAGGUGUCGGGGGAAUCGACCCCCUCGGUGUCGUAGCCAACGCGUUAAGUGUUCCGCCUGGGGAGUACGCACGCAAGUGUGAAACUCAAAGGAAUUGACGGGGGCCCGCACAAGCGGUGGAGUAUGUGGUUUAAUUCGAUGCAACGCGAAGAACCUUACCAGGGUUUGACAUCCUGCGAAUCCCUUGGAAACGAGGGAGUGCCUUCGGGAACGCAGUGACAGGUGGUGCAUGGCUGUCGUCAGCUCGUGUCGUGAGAUGUUGGGUUAAGUCCCGCAACGAGCGCAACCCACGUCUUUAGUUGCCAGCAUUUAGUUGGGCACUCUAGAGAGACUGCCGGUGAUAAACCGGAGGAAGGUGUGGAUGACGUCAAGUCAUCAUGCCCCUUACAUCCUGGGCUACACACGUACUACAAUGCUACGGACAAAGGGCAGCAAACUCGCGAGAGCUAGCCAAUCCCAUAAACCGUGGCUCAGUUCAGAUCGUAGGCUGCAACUCGCCUACGUGAAGGAGGAAUCGCUAGUAAUCGCAGGUCAGCAUACUGCGGUGAAUACGUUCCCGGGCCUUGUACACACCGCCCGUCACACCAUGGAAGUUGGCCAUGCCCGAAGUCGUUACUCCAACCCUUGUGGAGGAGGACGCCGAAGGUGGGGCUGAUGACUGGGGUGAAGUCGUAACAAGGUAGCCGUACCGGAAGGUGC
rnacentral:rRNA from 1 species